rnacentral:rRNA from 1 species
UACAGAGGGGGCAAGCGUUGUUCGGAAUUACUGGGCGUAAAGCGCGCGUAGGCGGAUUUGCAAGUCGGGGGUGAAAGCCCGAGGCUCAACCUCGGAACUGCCUUCGAUACUGCAAAUCUCGAGUCCGAGAGAGGUGAGUGGAAUUCCUAGUAUAGAGGUGAAAUUCGUAGAUAUUAGGAAGAACACCAGUGGCGAAGGCGGCUCACUGGCUCGGUACUGACGCUGAGGCGCGAAAGCGUGGGGAGCAAACAGG